CCGUAGCUCAGCGGAUAGAGCGGCUGCCUCCUAAGCAGCAGGUCGAGGGUUCGAGUCCCGCCGG
rnacentral:tRNA from 1 species